rnacentral:rRNA from 1 species
UACGAAGGGGGCUAGCGUUGCUCGGAAUCACUGGGCGUAAAGGGUGCGUAGGCGGGUCUUUUAAGUCAGGGGUGAAAUCCUGGAGCUCAACUCCAGAACUGCCUUUGAUACUGAAGAUCUUGAGUUCGGGAGAGGUGAGUGGAACUGCGAGUGUAGAGGUGAAAUUCGUAGAUAUUCGCAAGAACACCAGUGGCGAAGGCGGCUCACUGGCCCGAUACUGACGCUGAGGCACGAAAGCGUGGGGAGCGAACGGG